UACAGAGGUGGCAAGCGUUGUUCGGAAUUACUGGGCGUAAAGGGCGCGUAGGCGGCGUGACAAGUCACUUGUGAAAUCUCCGGGCUUAACUCGGAACGGUCAAGUGAUACUGUCGUGCUAGAGUACAGAAGGGGCAACUGGAAUUCUCGGUGUAGCGGUGAAAUGCGUAGAUAUCGAGAGGAACACCUGCGGCGAAGGCGGGUUGCUGGGCUGAUACUGACGCUGAGGCGCGAAAGCUAGGGGAGCGAACGGG
rnacentral:rRNA from 1 species